GUCUGUGUGCUGUGUGUGUGCAUGUCUGUGUGUGUCUGUCUGUGUGUCUCUGAGUAUGUAUGUCUGUGUGUCUUUGGGUGUAGCUCUGUGUGUGUGUGUGUGUGUGUGUGACAAUAAUGAAGAAAGAGAUCAUGAGUCCGAGAAGCAGUACAGGAACACAGAAGGGACUGGAUGGGGGAGGAUAAAAUUGACAUGAAUGCAAUACUCAGAAAUUCUCCAAAAAGGUGACUUUUUAUUAAGAAUGGAGAUUCAGCAUGCUUUUAAGAGAAGUCAAUGGAGGUAUCUUAUGAAAUGACAGAAAAAAAGGAAGAGAGAGAAGGGAAAGGGAACAAAGAGAUGAGAAAGAUGGAUUAAUUGCGUCUGUCUAAAAUACGUGGACAGGCGCACUGGGAGAUGUUCUCUUUCAAAUCGGACAGUGCUGACGGGAAACAAGUAUGCGACUUGGCAUCGAUGCUGGAAGAUUCCACACAGAGAGCAAGGUAGGGUCUAUGGAGCUGCAGCUGCCUUUGAACGCCAUGGGAUCAAGGAUGACACUGAAUGUUUGACCCUUCUGCCUUGACCUUCUGAGAUCAAGAUUAAAGGUGUGCCAGACUAUAACCGCUGUACGGGCUUCCAACCUGCCAGGCAGGCAUGUGCCAACGGAGCGCUUUCCAGUCUCACUGGUCAGGUUUGGGAUCUCAGUCUCAUUGCUUCCUCGAGCGUGUUAUGUGAGAGGAAACACAGGACUCGGGCAAAGAACAAUGUCUGGUUCUCAGCUUGCCUGUGAGAAAGGAAGCAGACUUUGCACAGCGUGUCCAGAGCCUUCCACAUGUGACGCACACUGUACCGCCAUCUUCCAGCAGAGCAAACUCACAGUCUUCAGUGCCAGAUCUGAGGUCUAAGUCAUUGAUGGCAUCACUCUCUAAGAGACCCCAUGCUGUUGAUUUUUGUGUCCUGUACUUGUCUGAAAUCAAGGAACUUCUGUCUCAGCACCACGAGCAAUCUUCUACUUACCUACCCCAGCUCUAUUUCCAACACCAACACACUCCUCAUGCCCACUGAUGCCCCAGACCUCCUCUGGGAAGACAAGGUGGGCUGACAGUAACCAGACACCAUAACCAGACCCCAGUGAUCUUGAAACACCACCCCUAAGCCUUGUUAGCCUGCUGGUGGAGAGCAUGUUCUACACCUCAUUUGCCCUGUCACCCAUUUCUGGCAAUUAUUACUCUAAAUAAUUAUGAUAAAAGCUCUGAAUUCUAGGUGGCACAGACCCGAGUGCCUGAAGCUAUAGCAGGGCUGAGAUAAAGAAACUUUGUCCCUACAGAAAAUCUCACUCCCAGGAGUUCACACGAAAGCAUCACCACGGUGUGCAGCCAGUGUCAAACUAAUACGCAGUUAAGACUGUCUCCAUGAAACCAACCUCUCCAGAAGCCACGGCUGUCUCAUCUCCUCCAGGGCCAUCGUUUUUACCCCAAAGAGACAUUUAAAGACUCCCCCUCCUGAGGGUUUCCUCUUAGGUUUCAAUCAAACCCUUAAGUGAGGGGAGCCCCGUGGCUUUCGUAAUUGUGAAACCAAACCCAUGAGAGCUUCCAACCCUUCGCCCCCGAAGCCGCUACCACACUGCGGAAGGCAGUCUUUCUCUUACUGCAAAUAGACUCCUGUUCUCUGUGGCUGUGAAAGCAGCACCAUGGCACAAGGGUGCUGGCAGAAUUCUAAAUGAUCGCACCAGAAUGUCUGUGACUAGAUGUUGGUGGCACAGUCCACAUACGCUGCUGUCUGAGACUGGCGAUGCAGCAGAGGAGUAACAUGCCGAGAUACCAUCAGCAUACAGCAGAGACACGUGCUGCCUCCUGACAGUGGAAUAAAAAGCUCUGGGAAGAGGUAGCCUUCAGACAGAGAUGCCCCAAACUGACAGCUGCUGUGUGAAGAGCGAUGGGGAAGAGAUAGCCUAUUUCCCUCCUUUCUCUCUGCUUCUGGGUCAGAUUUAAAAGCCCCAGCUCAUCAGUGAGCUGUUUUCAGGAUGGUUUUCUAACCAGGGUUCUCUGCUCAGAUCCAAAUGACCCCCUGAUGUCUCUUCUUAUCCACAGAAAUAGAGGGGACUUCUCCCCUGGCUCCUUCCCUGCCCGAGAGGCCAGAGAAGACUGGGAAUUUGGAACUAACCCUGAGGUCACAGUUAAUAGUGUCUGAAACCGUGCUCUCAAGCCCAGUGGGGAAAUGAGCAACAGCAAGGGGUCUCUGAAUAACGAAUGACCAAAAAGUUACUCAAAAUCAUAUGAACCAGGGGACCAAGGGGUUUCUGGUGGUACUAACCCAUGUCCCAUCUCAGGACAGCAUGACUUCACAGAAACCUUCUCUUUCUCUGUCUCUCUGUCUCUGUCUCUGUCUGUCUCUCCACCUCUCUGUCUGUCUGUCUGUCUGUCUGUCUGUCUCUCUCUCUCUCUCUGUGUCUCUCUCUCUGUGUGUGUGUGUGUGUGUGAGACACAUGCACAUGCUACAACAUUUAUGUUGAGGUCGGUAUUCAUGGGAGUCAAUACUCUCCUUCUAUCGUGUGAAAGGACUGAACACCUCUCUUUUAAAUCCCCAUUGUACAAGUUGUCAGACUUGGCAGUAGGUGCCAUCUCACCAGCUAAAAAUAUUUGGUUUUUAUACCUAGUUUGUAUGGGUAUAAAGGUACUGGGACCUAGGUACUGGGACCUAGGUACUGGGACCUAGGUACUGGGACCAAGUAGAAAUCUCUCAGGUGGUAAAGGACUAGAGGUAGGAAAGGUUUAAUGAGACGGGAUGUAACUCCCAUUGUGUGCUCACACAGGUACACUUAUGUAUAAUUAUGCUUAUGAGUUAUUUGUGAUUUGCUUAGAGUAAAAUUGCACGUACUAUUUACGUGAAU
ensembl:antisense Gm16142 predicted gene 16142